AGUGAACGCUGGCGGUAGGCCUAACACAUGCAAGUCGAACGGCAGCACAGUAAGAGCUUGCUCUUACGGGUGGCGAGUGGCGGACGGGUGAGGAAUACAUCGGAAUCUACUUUUUCGUGGGGGAUAACGUAGGGAAACUUACGCUAAUACCGCAUACGACCUACGGGUGAAAGCAGGGGAUCUUCAGACCUUGCGCGAUUGAAUGAGCCGAUGUCGGAUUAGCUAGUUGGCGGGGUAAAGGCCCACCAAGGCGACGAUCCGUAGCUGGUCUGAGAGGAUGAUCAGCCACACUGGAACUGAGACACGGUCCAGACUCCUACGGGAGGCAGCAGUGGGGAAUAUUGGACAAUGGGCGCAAGCCUGAUCCAGCUAUACCGCGUGGGUGAAGAAGGCCUUCGGGUUGUAAAGCCCUUUUGUUGGGAAAGAAAAGCAGCAGGUUAAUACCCCGCUGUUCUGACGGUACCCAAAGAAUAAGCACCGGCUAACUUCGUG
rnacentral:rRNA from 1 species